rnacentral:lncRNA from 1 species
CCGCGCACGGGGCUCCCGGAGCGGGCUGAGGGCACCGUCCCUUCCCGGGAGAGCAGACAAAGGAGCAGUCAGGGUGGUGCUCGGAGGAUCGGGGGGCAGCGGGAGGUCUUCCGUGGCAGCAGCUAUGUUUUGGGAAAUAGGAAUGUUUCUGGGACCGGGAGGAAGGUAGCAGCAAUAAGGGUGCCCCAGCAGGAGCGGCAGCUCUGCCCCCGAGGCCGCCGGGCUGGAGAGCCGUGGGAGCAGCCGGGCCUCCGAGCGGACGGGCGCCCUUCCCACCACCGAGGAGGGUUACAACACCUUGCGCUUGAGUUUUGAUGGUUGGCAAAUGGGUGAAAGAGAUACAGCGUGCCUCACAGACCCCCGUGGGGCUCAGCGGGUCUCGUGCGGACGCUGCGGUCUCCCCUGGCCGGUGCAGAGCGAGCUCCAGCGGUGCCAGUCCGGAUCUCGGGAAGGGGCCCGCUCCGAGCUCCCUGAGCUUCUUACACAAAAUGGCCUUUGGUGUUUUAAUUUCCCACCUCUUUUUUUUCUUAAUUCCCAGUUCCUUUUGCACUGCUGUCUCAGCCAGCGCACGCUAGCUCCUGAAGCCUGCCUUCUCUACGUGCCCUUGGUGCCCUCCUUGACCAUCACGUUGCCACGAGGAGCGUCCUCUGCAUCAGUGAAGCUCAGUCCCCGGAUCCCGGCCUUCUCGCCCCAUCGCUGCGGUGCCCCAGCCACCCCUUCCCCUCCAUCCCUGCUUCCUCCCCUCACCUCCCUCUGGCACCGGCCCGGCUCACCGGUGGGACGUGCAGGCCAGGAGGCACGUGGGACGGGACACGCAGAGAGCAGGGGACGGGACACGCAGAGAGCAGGGAAACGAAGUGGGGCCAGGGAAGAAAUGAGCUGCAGCGAAGCAGAGAGGCGUCAUUCUCCACGACCGCUCUCCCAACUGCCCUGCGCUGCAAAGCCGCGCAAGCCAUUCGAGUGGUAUUUACGGAAAGCAGCCCCUUUGUGGCAUUUUUCAUCCCUGGACUACAAAAGAACGGCAAGGCUGGUUGCCGCAGAAAGAGGGCAUGGGACGCGCAGCGGCAAGCUCCAGCCUACUGAACCGGUGCCUUUGCCGAGCUUGCACGUGUGCUGAGGAAGAGAGCGGAGACCUUCAGUCUUCCUGCAUGACCCAGAACAACAGUUUCAAAACCAAAGAGCUGCUUAGCUAAUCAUUGAAAUAAAGCAUAUUGGUUAAAAAAAAAAAAAAUCA